AUUCCUGGCUUCCACUGUGAAGCCUGUGGUAGCACUAUGACUAAAGGAAAACAUCAACAUACUACAGUAAUUUGAUAACAUUAUAUGGUAACAUUUCAUAGUCAAUUACCAUAAAAUGUCAUUAAUUUAGUGGUGAGAGUUAUGCACCGAGUACAGGACCUAAUGUUUUCGUACUAAAAAGAAAGAACCAAAAAAAGAAACAAAAGCAUUCCCCAGUAUCAUAUGAAUUUCCCUUUUAACAUAAAAUGCUAUAACUUUGUAAGACAUUACCAGCAACAAUCAUCUAUGCCAUGUCAAAUAGGAAACACAUGGCCAAAACUACAACCAAAAUCACCUCCAACAUGAAGAGCCUACCCACAAAUGCUUUUCGUGAAGGCAGAAUAAACUAACCACCUUUGCAAUAGCAAAAGCUAAUAGAUAGGACUCCAUCCUACAUGAAAACUUUUAAUCAUACAUAUAUCAAAUUGUACUAACAAGUAGUCUCCCAGUAUGGUUAUCAAAAGGAUAAGGAGUAGUAACAUAAAAAUAACGAAUUCAGCAAAUCAAAGGCUAAUAUGUUUUCUGAUUUCUGAAUACUCGAACAUAAUGAGACAUUGAAUGAUUAAAGCCUUCACUAUUUAAAUCAGCUUAGGGCGAUAAGCAGAUUGCUACAACGGGUACAAAGUAGAUGCAAAUGACCUAGUAAAAAAAUCACCGAAAUAAACUUGAUACUUAUAUACUGAGUUACUCGCAGCAACUAAAGUUGAAGGCCUAUGAAGGUGAUGCAGCAAACAAUGUGAUAUAAAAUUGAUCACUUGAAUGCAAAAAAACAAACAAAAUUAACUCACAAAACUGAUGUAAAAAAGGC
rnacentral:lncRNA from 1 species